GAAUGCUGAUGGAUGCUCAC
rnacentral:piRNA from 1 species